rnacentral:rRNA from 1 species
CCUACGGGAGGCAGCAGUAGGGAAUCUUCCGCAAUGGGCGAAAGUCUGACGGAGCAACGCCGCGUGGGUGAAGAAGGUUUUCGGAUCGUAAAACUCUGUUGUUAGAGAAGAAAGUGCGUGAGAGUAACUGUUCACGCUUCGACGGUAUCUAACCAGAAAGCCACGGCUAACUACGUGCCAGCAGCCGCGGUAAUACGUAGGUGGCAAGCGUUAUCCGGAUUUAUUGGGCGUAAAGGGAACGCAGGCGGUUCUUUAGGUCUGAUGUGAAAGCCUUCGGCUUAACCGGGGAAGUGCAUUGGAAACUGGGAGACUUGAGUGCAGAAGAGGAGAGUGGAAUUCCAUGUGUAGCGGUGAAAUGCGUAGAUAUAUGGAAGAACACCAGUGGCGAAGGCGGCUCUCUGGUCUGUAACUGACGCUGAGGUUCGAAAGCGUGGGUAGCAAACAGGAUUAGAUACCCUAGUAGUC